rnacentral:misc_RNA from 1 species
GUAGGUGAACCUGCGGAAGGAUCAUUACUUGGCCUUGGGCCGCUCGCGGGAGCCUGUCGCUUGCGAUGGUGCUCUCGGGGGUGCUUAGCCCUUGAUUACCACCUUGACUAUGCGCACCUUUGUUGUUCCCUCGGCAGGACGCUGCCGCUGGGAACCCCUUAAACCUUUUGCAAUCAGCAUUAACCUUCUGAAACAAACCUAAUUAUUUACAACUUUUAACAAUGGAUCUCUUGGUUCUGGCAUCGAUGAA